CAGAUGAUAAUUUGUAAAAAAACACAUUCUAAAAUCAUCCAUUAAACUUGGGUCCAUUAUUUUGAAAUCAAUAAAUUAUUUUACGAAAACAUAAAAUUUUCGAAUGAAAAUUAACUUAAUUCUUACCAGAAUCUCCAAUGAAAGAAGAAAUUGAAAAGCUUUCGAACAACUUUGUUCCAUACGGUUGACUUUCUUUUCAAUUUUC
rnacentral:lncRNA from 1 species